CCUUCACUCGUCAUGGUUCCUCUUCUAAUAACUGAGCGGACAGGACUCCUUACCCAGCAAGACCACCGUCUCAUAGUUCUCCUGCAUGACAUCUCUGUAGAGGGUUCUCUGAGUGGGGUCCAGCAGAGACCCCUCUUCCCUGGUGAAAUACACAGCCACCUCCUCGAAGGUCACCAGCCUCUGAAAGAGCAAGAGCCCCCCACUCACAACCUGCUGCACCACUCACAGCCCCACAAUUCACAGAACAGCACCACCAGGGAAAUGGAAGCUCCGGGAGGCACAU